CCUACGGGAGGCAGCAGUAGGGAAUAUUGCUCAAUGGGGGAAACCCUGAAGCAGCAACGCCGCGUGGAGGAUGAAGGUUUUCGGAUUGUAAACUCCUUUUGUUAGAGAAGAUAAUGACGGUAUCUAACGAAUAAGCACCGGCUAACUCCGUGCCAGCAGCCGCGGUAAUACGGAGGGUGCAAGCGUUAAUCGGAAUCACUGGGCGUAAAGAGCGCGUAGGCGGGAUAGCAAGUCAGAUGUGAAAUCCUAUGGCUUAACCAUAGAACUGCAUUUGAAACUGUUAUUCUAGAGUAUGGGAGAGGUAGGUGGAAUUCUAGGUGUAGGGGUAAAAUGCGUAGAGAUCAAGAGGAAUACUCAUUGCGAAGGCGACCUGCUAGAACAUAACUGACGCUGAGGCGCGAAAGCGUGGGGAGCAAACAGGAUUAGAUACCCUAGUAGUC
rnacentral:rRNA from 1 species